rnacentral:rRNA from 1 species
GUCCUACGGGGCGCAGCAGUAGGGAAUCUUCCACAAUGGACGAAAGUCUGAUGGAGCAACGCCGCGUGAGUGAAGAAGGGUUUCGGCUCGUAAAGCGCUGUUGGUAGUGAAGAAAGAUAGAGGUAGUAACUGGCCUUUAUUUGACGGUAAUUACUUAGAAAGUCACGGCUAACUACGUGCCAGCAGCCGCGGUAAUACGUAGGUGGCAAGCGUUGUCCGGAUUUAUUGGGCGUAAAGCGAGUGCAGGCGGUUCAAUAAGGCUGAUGUGUAAACCUUUUGCCCCACCGGAGAAUUGCA